UCCCUGGUGGCUCAGAUGGUAAAGUGUCUGCCUACAAUGUGGGAGACCCAGGUUCAAUCCCUGGGUUGGGAA
rfam:TPA: Bos taurus chromosome 13, whole genome shotgun sequence.